UGGGUGAUCUGCCCUGCACUUCGGGAUAAGCCUGGGAAACCGGGUCUAAUACCGGAUAUGAUCAUGCGCCUCCUGGUGUGUGGUGGAAAGCUUUUGCGGUGUGGGAUGGGCCCGCGGCCUAUCAGCUUGUUGGUGGGGUAAUGGCCUACCAAGGCGUCGACGGGUAGCCGGCCUGAGAGGGUGUCCGGCCACACUGGGACUGAGAUACGGCCCAGACUCCGUACGGGAGCA
rnacentral:rRNA from 1 species